AGAGCGCGAAGGAGGACUGGGCGCGAGUCUACUCAUUACAUGUACUGUAAUCCUGUCACAACCGCAUGGUCAGGAGAAUGACGAAGCCGGGAAGAGUCUAACAGCCAAUCACCAUCUUGUAUUACUAUGAUAAGAUCGUUGUUCAGAACCACAACGAUAUCAGAAUGGAAAAGGCUACUGUGUUUAGCGUACCACAACUGGCACACAGAAAAGUUCCAAGCGGCAGCGAACCAAACAAGAAGGAAUUGUCUAGCGGACGAAUGAAUUCAGCCCAACUGGUGUACGUGAAAGUUCCAAGCCGCAGCGAACCAAACAAGCAGGCGGCACUUCGCCCUUCGCCAUAUCUGGAGGUGUAUCGUUUGAAUUGAGGGAUGAUGGACAAGAAACUGAAGAAUGUUGGGAGGAGCUAGACUAUUGUUGACACGUCGCGCUAUUAUGUAAACGUUAGUCCUAGACAAUAGACUCUUGGUGUGUGUGUGCGCGCGUGUUGUAUCGUUCUGGUUGUAGAGCACGCAGUAAUAGUUCCUGUUGAGUUGAGAGCUCUACUAGUAUUUGGGCGUGUUGUUAGUCCAGACUUAUCUUAUCGUUAGCCGUAGUGUUACAAAUACAAGUUGUGUUCUGAGCACUA